GUUUUGAUUCCAUCCGGUUCUCUCACCAGCUGACAUUACUUAAGUACACUCCCCGCCCCCACCUUCUCAGUUUCUUCCUAUUUACUACAUGUCUCAGAAAAAAACAGCUUAAAGAAGAACAGAACAGUCUCUUUGAAAGACUUCUAAUUCAAAGACUAAGAUUACAAAUAUUUAAAAACAUUAACAAUAUUCAACUGAGAACUGGAAGAUCUAUACAAGGCAAGUUCUGCAAGCAGCAUUAUACUCUAGAGGAUUUACUUCAUUGAGGUCACUAUGUCAUGGGUGUCCCACUUCCCUCUCUUCAAUAUCAUUUGACGUAGAGGGAUAAACAGUUAAAGUCGGAUCAAUCGUUAUAAAGAGAGUUUUGGAUGAUGGUCAAGAAGGAAGAGAAGUUGAAGAUGGCAGUUGAGGAACUCAAUGGUAAAUGAUAAGGAACAACUGCUGAACUUGAAUAACAAAUCAUGGAGUUCAUAUGUUUAAUGUAAACAUUACACAUUAA